AUGCCCUAAAACACAAGCCCGCCAAUCUGAUCCUCAUUACCCCAAUUUCCCCCUUUUGAUUUUCCCCAAACUUCACAAGCCCGCCAAUCUGAUCCUCAUUACCCCCCAAUUUCUUCCCCUUUUCCCCAAUUCGUGACACACCGUCACCAGCUGCUACUCCCCUCGAUUGCACUACCUCCCUCGUCGCACCACCUCUGCCGUAGCUGUCCCACCUCCACCAUCACCGACCCACACUGCCACCUUGGGAGAGAGAGAGAUUGACGACGAUGGUGGCGAAUCUCCGCCCUAUUCAUCACCACACUGCCACCUUGACCAUCGCCCAACCCCCAGCGCACCUCCCCCGCCAACCCCUCGAAAACACCACUUUAAACCCCCAAAUUGUCAGAGAUUUUUGAUUCAAGAAGCAAAAACUCAUCUCCUAUGGGCUCCAAGCAACCUGGCUUCGAUGACGACGCAAGCCCCGGGUACCUUAGUUAACUAUUUUACAAAGUAUGGAGACCUGAUGGAUUUGGUUAUCAUGAAAGAUCGAUAGACUGGUCGUCUAAGGGGCUUUGGGUUUAUUAAGUAUGCGGAUCCUUCGGUUGUUGACACUGUUAUUGCUGAGACAAAUGUUAUUAAUGGGAAACAAGUCAAACUUAUUGACUUCUCUCUUGGUGAGAAAUCUUUGGUUACUUGCAGCAGUCAUGAACCAAGCAACCCUCGCGACCCUCAUAGAGUAGUGCUUAAUUUGAUGCGAGAACUGGAAAAAUAAUGAAAGAUUUCAACGAAAGGGCAGAUGAGUUUGCGUUUGGAGAAACCGGCGGUUUCACUGGGGUUUCUUGGCCUGUUUUCAGGUAAUGAAUUAGUACGUGAUACGACCCGAACCGCAAGCCGACCCGUGAAGAUCCAUUUCAACACCAUGUCCUUUAUUUUAGCAUGCAUGCAUACAUAGAUCUGCACGUUCUCAUAUUUGCUAUUGCAUUUCUUCCAUGUUUCCUAAUUGUUAGUUAAAUUAAAGUAGUGGGUUAGUGGGCCAUGUUUAGGUUAGUUAUUUGAUUGUUUCUUUGUUUUGUAAGUCUUUAAAAAGGGGUUCGUAUCAUUAAUGGAAGGAAGAAGAGAAAAUUAUUGAGAGAAGUAUUGUUUCGUUUUCCUUAUCUAGUUCUUGGAGCCUAACCCACUCAACGGGUCUCUUGGGAGAUUAGCCAUCUCGAAUCGGCUUCUAUCAGUACGAUUAAGCUAAUUUAUGUUGGACGUUACUGAAGAAAUCCUUCCUGAUGUCGGCAUCUUUUAGAUUCGAUCUGUUGUGUCAUAGAUUUGGCUAGUCAAAAACAAUGAUACAGUAACUUUUUGUUAUGAUGCACAGCUAUGGGAAAGAGAAGUUGAGUCUGGAAAGACAGAUCUACUGAAAUGCUGUUGAUUUUUAGUCCUAAACCACUUAAUAUUGCUGUACAGAAUGGUAGCGAUCAUGACACGGGUUUGAUGGCAGAUGUUGGCAGUGAUCAGGAAGAUCAUUCAGUUGCUGUAGCGAAGCACAUAGAAGUUGCAGAUAAAUAUGACGUCGGGGAAUACGGUGACUUUCUUUCAUCCAAGGUUUCAUUUAUUUGGUUGUUUUAUGUUUGACUUAAACAAAAAUUCGAACUAGUUAACUUUUAUGUACUUUUAUGUGUAUACAUGUACACAUCAGUGGUUUCGUAUGUAUUCGGGAAAAUUGGUUAUAGCACUAAAAUGUAAUUUUUUUUUACUAUUUUUCGACUUUUAGUGGCGACAA
rnacentral:lncRNA from 1 species